CUCUACUGUUGUAUAAUUGAUGAUAACGAAUUUUCUAACGUUUUCAUUUUUAUGGAAGCUUUAAGAUGCGUGGCAAAUAUCUGAAUCCACAUCAUUCGUCGUAGGAGGUUUAUAUCUAACCACGUUACCAACCUUGAACGUGGGUGCUAAUCUACGUUAAGUUCAGCAGUCCAGAUGAUUAAAAGCCAUCGAGUGAGAAAUCUUAAUUGGAGGACGAGAUUCAAAAAAAUAUAAACUUGUGAUUGAAAAUAUAAAGGAUUCGGAUGUUAUAACCUGUGUGAACCUAACAAUCGAGACAUCGGUUAGUCAUUUACAUUAUGUAACAAUUGUAAUUUUAUCUGCGGCCUUGACUGAGUUCUCUAUUUGCUGAUCGAGUAUUUGGGUCUUGUGUUUUCCUGUUCUCACCGGACCAAGAAAUCAAAAUAAAUGGAGUCAUUUUACAAAAUGUAUUAAACAAAAGUAACUUUCUGACA